GGUGGCCUCCAUUUCCGGUUCGAAUGGGCGCAUAACUACCGCUCGAACUGGGGUUGAAGCCAGCU
rnacentral:pre_miRNA from 1 species